UACGGGGGGAGCAAGCGUUGUUCGGAUUUACUGGGCGUAAAGGGCGCGUAGGCGGCCACCGCAAGUCGACUGUGAAAUCUCCGGGCUUAACCCGGAAAGGUCAGCCGAUACUGCGGGGCUAGAGUGCAGAAGGGGCAACUGGAAUUCUCGGUGUAGCGGUGAAAUGCGUAGAUAUCGAGAGGAACACCUGUGGCGAAAGCGGCGCACUGGACCAUAACUGACGCUGAGGCGCGAAAGCUAGGGGAGCAAACAGG
rnacentral:rRNA from 1 species